rnacentral:rRNA from 1 species
UUAAGCUAAGAAGAGCGUAGGGAGAAUGCCUUGGCAUUAGGAGCCGACGAAGGACGUGAUAAGCUGCGAUAAGCUGCGGGGAUCAGCAAGUAUGAAUUGAUCCGCAGAUUUCCGAAUGGAGCAAUCCGUAUGUGUAUGCACAUACAUCAUAUACUGAAUCAAAUAGGUAUAUGAGGGGAACCGCCUGAACUGAAACAUCUAAGUAGGGCGAGGAAGAGAAAUCAACCGAGAUUCUGUGAGUAGUGGCGAGCGAAAGCGGAAGAGGCUAAACCAUAGGUAGCAAUACUUAUGGGGUUUCGGACAGCAUUUAGUAUUGAUAAUUUCUAGUUGAAACGUGUGGGAAAACGUACCGAAGAGUGUGAGAGUCACGUAAGCGAAAGAGAAAGUCAGCGAGCUGUAUCCAAAGUACCGCGGGACACGUGAAACCCCGUGGGAAGAUGGGGGGACCAUCCUCCAAGCCUAAAUACUACCUAAUGACCGAUAGCGAAUAGUACUGUGAAGGAACGGUGAAAAGAACCCCGGGAGGGGAGUGAAAAAGAACCUGAAACCCUAUGCUUACAAGCACCGAGAGCACGUCAAAGUGUGAUCGGGUACCUUUUGUAGAAUGGUCCGGCGAGUUAUUGUAUGCGGCAAGGUUAAGUGCUUAAGGCACGGAGCCGAAGCGAGAGCAAGUCUGAAUAGGGCGAAAGAGUCGUAUGCAAUAGACCCGAAACCGAGUGACCUAUCCAUGUCCAGGCUGAAGUGGAGGUAAAACUCCAUGGAGGGCCGAACACACGUCCGUUGAAAAGGCCGGUGAUGAGGUGUGGAUAGCGGAGAAAUUCCAAUCGAACUCGGAUAUAGCUGGUUCUCUCCGAAAUAGCUUUAGGGCUAGCCUCGUGAAAGAUUACUGGAGGUAAAGCACUGAAUGGGCUAGGGGUCGAAAGAUUACUGAACCCUAUCAAACUAAGAAUGCCAGAUAAUUGAUUCACGGGAGUCAGACAAUGUGAGAUAAGUCUCAUUGUCAAAAGGGAAACAGCCCAGACCCACAGCUAAGGUCCCUAAACAUUGUUAAGUGGAAAAGGAUGUGGGGUUGCAUAAACAACCAGGAUGUUGGCUUAGAAGCAGCCACUCAUUAAAAGAGUGCGUAAUAGCUCACUGGUCGAGUGACCCUGCGCCGAAAAUUCAACGGGGCUAAACAAUGUACCGAAGCUUGGGAUUCUAAAGUAAUUUAGAGUGGUAGGAGAGCGUCGAAUAAGGGGUGAAGUCAGAGCGGAAGCGCUGGUGGACUUUAUUCGAGUGAGAAUGCCGGAAUGAGUAGCGAGAAUUAUGUGAGAAUCAUAAUGGCCGAAAAUCUAAGGUUUCCUGAGGAAGGUUCGUCCGCUCAGGGUAAGCCGGGGGCUAAGGCGAGGCGGAGACGCGUAGCCGAUGCACAUACGGUUGAAAUUCCGUAGCCACCGAAAGAUUUAAGUACAGGGACGCUUUAGAAGUGAUGUUGCCGGGCGAUGGUUGACCCGGUCGUAAGGGAUCGAAAAUGAGUAGAGAAGUCAUCAUGGAAAGAGACAAGAAAAGCUGUAUGGAUAUUUUAGGUGCCCGUACCGCAAACCGACACAGGUAGAUAGGAAGAAGAUUCUAAGGCCAACGGGAGAAGGGUUGUUAAGGAACUCGGCAAGUUGACCCCGUAACUUAGGGAUAAGGGGUGCUCAAGUGAUUGAGCCGCAGAGAAUAGGCCCAGGCGACUGUUUAGCAAAAACACAGGUCUCUGCUAAAUCGAAAGAUGACGUAUAGGGGCUGACACCUGCCCGGUGCCGGAAGGUUAAGAGGAGAUGUGAGAGCAUUGAAUUGAAGCCCCGGUAAACGGCGGCCGUAACUAUAACGGUCCUAAGGUAGCGAAAUUCCUUGUCAGGUAAG